CUUCGGGCCCAUCCGGGAACGGUGGGUGGAAGACUGAAGUUCUUUUACCCGGCGUGGGCCGCAAAUAUUACGGACAUGUGGGUCACAUCCAUCAUAAAAGAGGGUUACAGGAUGGAAUUUUCUGCUCGCCCAAAAACCGCUUUCUUUCAAAGGUGUCGGCAGGUAGCAAACGAAGGGCCAUGAGGGCCUGCAUUUCCACUCUUCUGGAACAGAAGGUGUUAGAG